GGAACACAACGGUACGUAGCGACACGUCACGCUUCUAAUCCGACGGUCGCAGGUUCGAAUCCUGCCGGGUACGCCA
rnacentral:tRNA from 1 species